rnacentral:ncRNA from 1 species
GAGUGAACAGGAAAAGGAUAUCAUCUCAUAAAAUUACUAUGGUCCUCAGACUGUUAAAGACACUGUUUUAAAAACUGAAAUGCUUGUGGAGCAAAAGGUUAAAAGCUCGCUUGAUCUUGAUUUUCAAUCAAGAUACAGACAGUGAAAGCAGAGUCUCACGAUCCUUCUGAUCUUUUGGGUUUUAAGCAGGAGGUGUCAUAAAAGUUACCACAGGGAUAACUGGCUUGUGGUGGCCAAGCUUUCACAGUGACGUCGCCUUUUGAUCCUUCUAUGUCGGUUCUUCCUAGCACUGUGAAGCAGAAUUCACCAAAUGUUGGAUUGUUCACCUGCUGAUAGGGAACGUGAGCUUGGUUUAGACCGUCACAGGUUAGUUUUACCCUACUGAUGCUGUGUUGUUGCCAUGGUAAUCCUCGUUAGGAGAGGAACCGCAGGUUCAGACAUUUGGUGUCUGUGCUUGGCUGAGGAGCCAAUGGGGCGAAGCUACCAUCUGUGGGAUUAAGACUGAAGGCCUCUAAGUGGGAAUCCUGUCUUGGCGGAACCCUAGGGCAGCAUAGAAGGAGCCUCGGUUGGCCUCGGAUAGCCCGGGCGUCUGUCGCCCCCGGGGCGUGCGCACGUCCCUGUGCGCAUUGGGACCCGGUCCCUAGAGGAGAGCCCUUGUUCUGGGAAACGGGGCGCGGCCAGAAAGGGGGCCGCCCUCUCAACCGUCACAGAACGCACAUUCGUGGGGAACCAGGCACUAAACCAUUCUGGGUCCGGGUUUCCUACAUGGCAGAGCAGCUCCCUCGCUGCGAUCCAUCAAAAAUCGGCCCUCCACACAAGGGUUUGUCUCACCUCUAGCGCUAGCCUGGGUGAGACGUGGUGGCGUGGUGUCUCUCGAUUCCUUCUUCCCACCCGCCGAUCCUCCUCCCCC